UGACCCUAAUCAGUGAAUGGGGGAAUGCAGGGGACGCAUGCUCAGUAUGGCUGCAGUGCUUCCCUUGGCUGCUUGCUACUGCCAUUUCCAAGGGUCUUGCACAAAAGACAGAAGAAGAUCAGGCAUUUACCAAAUUAGUAGUUUGGGCUGGGAAAGAAGCUUUAAUUCUUGAUGAUAAUAAUGGCGUCUCCUGUCUGGAGAGCGACGUGGCUGACAAUCCUGUUAAUUUCAGUGGCUGGCCUAUUGAGUGUGAACCUGGUCGGGGCCAGUCAAGAAUCUGGGAGUGUCAUUCCAGCAGAAAGUCGUCCCUGUGUUGACUGCCAUGCGUUUGAAUUCAUGCAGAGGGCCCUGCAGGAUUUAAAGAAGACCGCGUACAAUCUAGACACACGGACAGAAACCCUCCUGCUGAGAGCAGAAAAGAGAGGCCUAUGUGAUUGCUUUCCUGCAAUGCACUGAAAUGAGCCCUGGGAAGCGGCCAAUGGACAUUAUUCAUUUUAAAAAUGCUAUUGAAUAAACUACGGACAGAUUUAUUAGGUACAGGUUGUGAGCAUAUGACACACUGUAAGGAAAACAAUGUUUUAUCUGAACUGAUUCAGCUGAGUUAGAUCUUUUUUGCUUUGACAUAGUUGAUCAUUGCCGUAUCUCUUGUCACACAUGCUGAAAUGUCAAAGAAGAGAGAGUGCCAAAGCUGCACUGGUAGGAUUGAUAUAACAAUAGAUUUGCAUUGUUCUGAAAUUUCAAGUCCUAGUUUUUUCCACUGAUGUUCAGGCCAGGUCUUCCGCAGAUGUAAUUUAGCAUAGUUCCACUCAAGUUCAUACCAACUGGGGAGGAGGCCCCAAGGUGUUCCUAUUGACUUUACUGAUGAUUCAUGAUGAGUGUAGCCAUUGUCAAAAUAUGGUCCGACACAUACAAAAGCAGUUAUUCUACAAUGAUGCACCGCUAAAGAGUUAUUCACAAAAAGUCAUUUAUGUAGAAAAUAAUGGUUAACAUUUACUGCUUUGCAGUGUUUGCAAAGCAGUUAUUGAUCAUGUCAGUACACCAGUUGUAACAGUAUCUAGUAUGUUAUACACAAUUAUUUGUAUCUCACAUCACUAACUUCUUCAGAGACAUAUAAUAGAUCUGAUCUUGGGGGGGAGGGGUUGCCUGGAGGAGGAGGGGUUUACUGGAUGGGCAGGAGAAAGGAGGAAGUAAUCAGCAAUGCUAUCAGUCACAUGAAUGCUGCCUGGCAGCUUAACAGGAUGUACCUGCCAAAAUUUUCUGAAGGGGUGUCCUUUAUUGAGCAAACUAUGUAGUGGGUCAUACCAUUCUAGAUGACCUUCUGAUGAUUUUGGCAGAGGCAGGAGCGGCCCUAGACGAGCUGCUGGCAACUGGCGCCAUAGGCGAAAUACGUGAUCGGCGCCCCAGCCUCCAAAGCCCUCAACGGCUGUUUAUCUUGGUGUCCUAGGCAACCGCCUAGGUUGCCUGUAUUGAUGGGCCACCAUUGGGCAGAGGCCAUACUCAAUGCCUGUGCCUCACUUAAUUCCUCAAAAUAGGACUUCAGGGACUGAGUGAGACUUCUGAAUGAGCAUGAAUUUCACCCAAGGGGCCGUCUGCUGCGAGAUGUUGAUUGUUUCCUGCCUGGUGAUCCUGCUAAAUGUCUUCAGCUCCCAAUUGCAGUCAGUAGAAUACUCAGGAGAACCUCUCAGGAGACAUGAAGCAGCUUGCAGUAGGUGGCCCUGUUACUCUUUAAAACCUCUCGUGGAAAGUCUUAUAGAUAACAAUGAAUGUUCUCCAGGGUUUUUAAAACCCUCCUGUAGAUUUACUAGGUAAUUAUGUCCUAGCUAUAGACUGCUAUAGGCUAGUUUACAAGUUCUAUAGAAAUGACAGCAUUCUCUGUGUGAAAUGAUACAGGUUUUCAACGUAACAUCAACUCAAUCUUAUUGUUUAAUUCUUAUUGAAUUCAGUAGCACUUUUUUAGAAGUAACUGACAGGUUACUGCUGGGCUGCUCAAGAAUGGUGGGGAUUCUAUCUUUUUUUCCUUAAUGAAACAAUUAGCUGCAAAACAUUUAUUAUCAUGAUAACGUAUGUAUAAAUUACAUGCAAACUCAGAGGGGAGAAGAAAGCCCAGAUUCAUUUUGGGGUUAUCAGAGUCCCUUAGAUUACAAAGGGUGCCCAAAUUGCUAAAUGAUUUGCAAGACUGGAGGAUGAGGCAUUACUGGGACACCAUGUGUAGGGCUGUAAUUAUAAAACCACUCUGAGGCUUAUGUCCUGACAGCUGGAAGGAGGUAUCCUGUAAACAAUUUCCAGGGUGAUACACCUGACUCAUCUGAAAUCCUGCCACCAAACACCAACAUCCUGUUGAACAUCUCCAGAAGCUGUCACGUACAACAGCCCGAAAACAGAAAUGAUUCAUCGCCUCUGAAUUCACUGUCAGUGGUGGAGGAUCAGUGCUGCAGCUCUCCUGGGCCUGAUGCCGCGGUCCUUGGUUGGUUUAGAUGAUGUUCAGCCCAGGGGGGAGAGCCAGCUGUAGAUCUUGUGCACUGUUUAAAUCCUCCGUAGGCUAUGGGGCCCAGAUGAAAUGUAAAUGCAUAAAGCUUGACCUGGUUUUCUGCUGAGAUGAUUUUCACCCUGUGACUUCCCUAGGAGUUUUGCCUAGAAAAGAUUUUAGAAUUAGACUCCAUAGUCUCUAGGGAAAGGAAAGCUUAAACCUCUUCUCGUUCUCCAUUACAGGUGUGAACCAGGCUUUGCAUCUUGCAGUGUUCUGGAGAAGCCACUUGUGCAGGUCCCUAGGUGGGAGGGAGGGGCGCAGUAUUUACUGAGUUCUCCUAUGUAGUCCUCAGGUACAGAUCCUCCCAAUGAAAUCAGGCCACGGGACCAGGUUAUAAAAUAGAAAACGAUUCCUAGUCUCAAUAUACCAUGCUCUGAAGUACUUUACCAUGGCUAGUGGGUAGCUGCUGAUCUCUAUUGCAGAUCUCAUGUUUUUUGACAGGCAGGACACAUGAGGGAGAAACCCACACGUGCAGAGACAGAGCACAAGGUCAAUGUGCCACUUAACUCCCACUUGCCACGUAAAUGGCUUUGUGCUGAACCCUGCACAGAGGAUAAAUUUCACCCAGUAUGCACCAUUGAACCUGUGGAUUUUCUAUCACAGCCUCACUAUUUUUUUGGGGGGGGGAGGGAGGGAGAAGGAAGAGGGAGGAUAUAGUAUCUAUGGCUUUGUAUCAAUAUUUUGCAUGCUUAUUACUGUCACAACAACUUUAAGAGUCUGAAAAGUCCUAUAAACAAAUGAUAUUGUUCGGUCUGUCAUAUGUCACAUUUAUAAAGUGAUCGAUAGCAUUUGAAUUUUCACAUAUGCAGCAGCAUACCAUGAGCUAGAAGCAGAGCGAACAAUGAGUUGAUGUUUCCUAGAUAGAAUUCACUGCAAGUUCACAGCUGUGAUGGUUGGUGCCAUUAUGUUAUAUGUAUUCCUUUUUGUCUAUAACAAUAAAAGAUGAGCUGUA